rnacentral:lncRNA from 1 species
UAUAUAUUUAUAUAUGUAUAUAUACAUAAUUGUAUGAAUGUAUAAGUACCUGGAGAAUACAUAUAUUUUCACACCUACAUACUUAUCUUCCUAAUGGCCUACCUCCCUAUCCAUAUACAUACCCCCUUGUCUAUGUUACCUACCCACCUAUCUAUGUAUCUAUUUUUCUGUCCAUCUGUCCAUUACAUAUGUACAUAAAUAUGUAUAUAUAUAUAUAUAUAUAUAUAUAUAUAUAUAUAUAUAUAUAUAUAUAUAUAUAUAUAUAUAUAUAUAUAUAUAUAUAUGUAUGUGUGGGUGUGUGUGUGUGUGUAUAUGUAUAUAUGUAUGCAUGUAUGUAUGUAUGUAUGUAUGUAUGUAUGUAUGUAUAUAUUAAUGUUUGUGUAUAUUUUAAUCUAUACACAUACAUAUAUAUCAAUAUAAGCGUACAUUAUUUGUAUAUGUAUAUUUAAAUGUAUAUGUGUAUAUGUGUAUUUUUGUAUGACUGCAUAUGUGUCUUUUUAUAUAUAAAUGCUCACCUAUAUGUAUAGGCUGAAUAUUGUUAUGCAUUUAUAUAUAUCUGUUUAAAAAUGCCUGUAUACAUAUGGAUAUAUAUAUAUAUAUAUAUAUACAUGUGUAUAAAUAUUUUUCCCAAUGAAAUUCAUAUAUUUCUCCAUGCCCUAUAAUGGACAUCCGACCUUUCCACUGCUAAUAUUUGCCAUGAACCUUUUGUUAGUAUUUACCAUAGACCUAUGGUAGCAUUUACUACAGUUUAAAAUAACAAUUAUCUGAGACUGAAGGUUAUGUUUAUUACAGACCUUAUAUAGCAUUCAUCACAUUCUGGGGGCAAAAAUAUACUAUGAGUAUCAGGUGAUAUUAAUAUGUACCUACUGCUAAGAUAAGGCCCACCAAACUGAGGGUAGAAGAAAAUCUAGAGUAAAAGUUCUAGUUUAUGGUAAUGUCUAUAAGAACUUUAAGUGGACAUUUAUCAGUUGGACAAUAUACAGAAUAGAUCUAGGGCAACAUUUAUCAAAUUUCUGGAGUCAGAGUUACCAUAUCUUAGAAUUGAGGUUAAUAUUUAUCACAACACAGAGAUAACCUUUUCACAGUUUGUCGGCAAUAUUCACUUUACAGUGUAAUGUAUGUUCAAGCCCCAGGUUAACCAUAGCGCAAGAGUAACAUGUACUACAAUAUGGAGUAACAUUUAUCACAGUUCUGAUAAUAGCAUUUAACUCAUAAUGUAACAUUUCUACUGACCCUAGGUUAACCCCAACUGUAGGAUAACAUUGAUCACAAAUUGGAUGACAUCACAGUAUGAUGAUAAUAUUUACCUCACAGUGUAAUAUUUUCCCACACUUUAGGUUAACUACUGUUGUGGGAAAACAUUCACUGUACCCCAAGAGUAGCUUUUACCAGGAGAUAAACAUUUGCCAGAAUUUGAUGCAAACAUUUACCUCACAUGAAAGGUGAAAUUUGCUCCUUACUUAAGGUGAAAUUUGCCACAAUCUGAGGUAACACCCAUUAAUAAUCCAUAUUAAAAAUCUGACUUUCAACACACCCAUUCAGGCACUACACUCAACCUAUUGAACACUCAGACAUCAUACUCAGUUCAUCUAAUGCUCAGAUACACUGCUCAGCUCAUUUAACAAUCAAAAAACUAUAAUCAAAAUUAAUUCAUAUCAUACUAAGAACAAAACUCAUUUCGUCCACAAUAUUCAACACCCCCCUGCCACAUACACAAAAGCACACACAAAUACUUUAACAUUAUAUUCACUCAAACCACCCAACACUCAGACCUUAUACUCAUUUUGUUCCAAUACCCACACACUUUCAACUAAUUUCCUUCCUGUUGUGCUCAGGACACUUCAAUGAGUUACACUUGCCAACUCGAGAAUCCCCUGAUUUUUAUUUUACUCAAGAGGAAGGUGAUCAUACAAUUCCAUAUUUCCAGCUACUUCUGCUGCUGCUGCUGCUGCUACUACUACUACUACUACUACUACUACUACUACUACUACUACUACUACUACUACUACUACUAUUACUACUACUACUAACAGCAACAACAACAUUAGUAUCAGCAACGAUAUAUGCAUAUAUAUAUAUAAAGUUGUUUUAUAAUUAUAAACGUAAUUAACCCUUUCAUUACCAACCCGGCUGAAACCGGCUCUGGCUCUGUUGUACAAAUGUCUUGUUUUCAUAAGGUUUUAAUUAAAAUCUCCCACCAAACCUUAUUCACAAUUUAUGUUCUUAACACUAGCUGAAUGAUAACUAAGUUAUUUUACUAAAUUCUUUGUUAUAUUUAAAGUAAUUGAAAGAAACACAGAGUAUCUCAAAAUAAAUACAGUAAUGAAAGGGUUAAGGGAUUAGCAAAAAGUUGCUUCACCAUAUACUGAAAAUUUAGUCAAAACUGCUAAUUCUUCUACUACAAUAUAUCUCCACAGACAGCUACUUGGUAAAAUUAUACACACACACACACACACACACACACAUAUAUAUAUAUAUAUAUAUAUAUAUAUAUAUAUAUAUAUGUAUAUACAUAUAUAUAUAUGUGUCUGUGUAAUCGUCGCAGCAUAAGCAGCAGUGACUACAACAGCAAGAACAAAGACAAAGAGAAAAGCAAUUACAACCAUGAAAUGCAACAGUUGCAACAAUAGCAGCAACAACAACAACAACAGUAGUUAUUACAAUAACAACUAUGAUCCUAUACAUAACUUAACAUGUAUUUUUUUAUUUUACCAUAAAUGCAUAUUUACAAAAGAAAACAUACUCACCCCUAACCGCCUCUGAGGAGAACUAAAAAAACUCCUAAGUUCAAUCUGGGCCACAGGUAGUACUUAUUGUAUUGCGAAUCAAGGUAUUUUAUUUUCUUCUUGCCUCAGUACAUUUAGUCUAAAGCAGGUCUCACAAGCCUAUCAUCUUACUAAAAUGGAGAAAGAUUCCAGCUAUUAAAAGUGUUAAAAUGUAAAUAAGAAAAAAAUAUGUUUGUUGUUUCAAGAAAGUGUAAAUUUGUAAACCCAUAUAAAUUUCGGUGGCAUUGAAAAAAAAAACACAAAAAAGGGACAAACAAUAGAUGCACUAUGUUUGCACAGAUGAAAAUACUUUAGUAUAUAUAUAUAUAUAUAUUGCAUUGUAUUAUAUUAUGUAUAUAUUAAACUGGGAAAAAGGCGGUGAGCUGGCAGAAACGUUAGCAUGCCGGGCGAAAUGCGUAGCCGUAUUUUGUCUGUCGUUUCGUUCUGAGUUCAAAUUCUGCUGUGGUCGACUUUGCCUUUCAUCCUUUCGGGGUCGAUAAAUAAAGUACCAGUUUCACACAGGGGUCGAUGUAAUUGACUUAAUCCCUUUGUCUGUCCUUGUUUGUCCCCUUGUGGGCAAUAAAGAAAUAUAUAUAUUAAACUGGGAAUUACUUUCUCCAUUCUUCGGGCCGCUCAUCUCCUGUCAGAUGAGUACCUUUCGGGAUCAUUUCGUAAGGAAGGGGUGUACUUUAGUAAUCGUGUGAGAGUGUGUGUAGAGUGUCACAGCAUCAAAUUGACCAAUACCAAGAACAAAAAAGCAAACAAAUAAAUAAAUACAUAGAAGCAGGAUGAGUAAAGGGACACAAUCCUGAUUAUAACAUCCAAAUGUGAAAAAAAAAAUAUAUAAAGAGGAAAAUAUUUUGAAGUCUUACUUCACGUUAUCAUAUAUAGUUGUUUCAUAAUAUGUUCUUCUAUUGGUUUGCCUGCUGUGGGAGGAGAAUAUAAAAGUCUGAAACACACAUAAAGAAAUAUGGCCUAGUGGUUAGAGCAGAAGACUUCGCGGUUGAGGGAUCGCGGGUUCGAAUCUCAGACCGGGCGAUGUAUGUGUUUAUGAGCCAAAACACCUAAGCUUCACGUGGCUCCAGCAGAAGGUGAUGGCGAACUUCUGCUGACUCUUCCACCACAACUUUCUCUCACUCUUUCCUCCUGCAUCUUGCAGCUCACCUGCGACGGACUGGCGUCCCAUCCAGGUGGGGAACCUAUAUGCCAAGGAAACCGGGAAACUAGCCCUUAUGAGCCAGGCAUGGCUUGAGAAGGAACAAACAACAAACAAAACAUAGAGAAAUAAAGUUCGCCCUCUUCAUGCAGUGAGAUAAGGGUAACUUAUUAACCCUUUUGUUACCAUAUUUCUAUUGAAACACACUGUCUUCAUUUCAAUUAAAUUUUGAAUAUAAUGAAGAAUUUAGUAAAAAUAUCUUAGACAUUUUUAAGCUGGUGUUUGGGAUAGAAAUUAAUAUGAAAUUUUGACUGAAGUUUUUAAUUUAAAUCAUUUUUUAUAACGGAGUCUGUAUCCCAGUUUUGGGCAUGUUAGUAUCAAAAAGGAUUAAUAAUUAGAUGUACUGAGCCAAUUUGAUUGAAAUGCCUUGUUCAGAAACACAUACACAGUGUUAGUGACAAACCUCAUAAACUGUUGUGAGCCUUUGGUCCAUUGAGUUACCGUUUGCUCUAUGAACUUAGAGAUCUAUUUUUGUUCUUUUUCUUUUUUAUGUUCUCUAUUUGAAAUUCCAUAGAGUAUCUUCUGCUGCAGGCCAAAAUAUACUUUCUGUGCCCAUCACCCCUGAAAAUUUAAAUCAGUACAUCCAGUUUUCUUUUUUUUUUUUAACUGAUUAUUAAUUAGUAUAGACAACCAUAAACUAAUAUUAAUUAAUAUAGAUUAAUAUAAUUUGGUAGAAUUUAUUUAUCUGAUGAUGACAUCCUUGAAAAAAAAAAAUUACAUAUAAAAGACAUGCUAAUGGAAAUGCUUUAUUUCCAAAGACAAAAGAAAAAUAAAAAAAAAGAGAAAGGAAAUAUGAUAAUUAUAAUCCAAACUAGAAACAAGGAAAGAUGUCAGGUAAUUAUUAAAAAAAAAAAACCCCUCAAAAAUACAAAAAAAAAACCAAAAAGAAAAUGAUGAUGAUGAUGAUGAUGUUGAUGAUGAUGAUGAUGAUGAUGAUGAUGAUGAUGAUGAUGAUGAUGAUGAUGAUGAUGGUGGUGGUGGUGAUGAUAUUGGUGAUAAUGAUGAUGUUUAUGAUGUCUGAAACUCUAGUUAGCUCCAUCCUCUUCAACUGACAUAAUCAGUGGAGAAACAGAAAAAGAAUAUUUAUUUUGGAGCUAUAUCGGAGGAUUUCAGCAUAUUUUUGUUGUUUUGUUUUAUUUAAUUGGUUUUCGUUUUUCUUUGUUUGUGUUUUGGAUAAAUUGUCAUUUUUUUUUAAAAAAAAAAAAAACAUUGUUUUGUUUGUUUGAUUUCUGUUUCAUAAUCUUUGUACUUUUUUUUUUCUCUUAAUUUUUAUGUCCUCUCAUUAAUAUGCUGAGUUAAUUAUUUUAAUUGUUAAAAUUGAUGAUGAUGAUGAUGAUGAUGACAAUGAUAAUAAUGAUGAUGAUGAUGAUGACCAUGAUGCUGUGAUGUUAUCUAUUGCUUGUACUGAAAAUAUUGUUCUAAAAAAUGUUAACCUUAUAUGUUACACAGAUAUACAUACUAAAAUACAUGCAAGGUACAUAAAUACACACAUACCUGUGUGUGUGUGUGUGUGUGUGUGUGUGUAUAAUGUGCACAUUUUACACACACUCAUGUAUAUAUGUAUAUAUAUAUAUAUAUAUAUAUAUACAUACAUACAUACACACAUAUAUAUAAUUACAUACAUACAAAACGUAUAUACAUGCAUACAUACCU